rnacentral:rRNA from 1 species
AUGUCCUACUUUGCUCAGACAUUUAAAUGUGUGAUUUGUUUCUACCUGGUGGUAUUCAUUUUUUUUCUUUCAGGAUACACUCUUAUGUCAUAUAUACUUUUUAGUGUUCUUGAAAGUGCUUUGUUGGUUGUACAAGGAAUCGAUCUAACAACGUCAUUUCAUGAAGGAAGGGGUUGUACUUUCCUUACAGAGCAUAGCUCAUUAUGCAAGGCGUUCAUUAUUGCAACAUCUUGUCCAGGGCUAGCUCAUUCAUUAGGGGUUGCUCAGCUAUGCUUUUUUUUUCCUUUUUCUUUUUUAUUUCCUUAUUGGAUUAUAUGCUACUCGGUGUUGAAGGGUUUGUUCAUGCCAAAUUUAAGAAAUCUUGUGAUGUUACCAGAGAUUGCCCAUUUACUCAUUCGGCAUGGGAUGGUCAGGGUUUGUUUAUUUUUAUCAGCGGACUUCCGUUCAGAAAAUAACCCAAUAGCGCUCGCCUGUUCUCUUUACUUAUGUACCUACACAAUAGUGCUCUAUUAA